AUUGAACGCUAGCGGGAUGCCUUACACAUGCAAGUCGAACGGCAGCGCGGACUUCGGUCUGGCGGCGAGUGGCGAACGGGUGAGUAAUGUAUCGGAACGUGCCCAGUAGCGGGGGACAACCACUCGAAAGAGUGGCUAAUACCGCAUACGCCCGUACGGGGAAAGGGGGGGAUCGCAAGACCUCUCACUAUUGGAGCGGCCGAUAUCGGAUUAGCUAGUUGGUGGGGUAAAGGCCUACCAAGGCGACGAUCCGUAGCUGGUUUGAGAGGACGACCAGCCACACUGGGACUGAGACACGGCCCAGACUCCUACGGGAGGCAGCAGUGGGGAAUUUUGGACAAUGGGGGAAACCCUGAUCCAGCCAUUCCGCGUGUGCGAUGAAGGCCUUCGGGUUGUAAAGCACUUUUGGCAGGAAAGAAAUCGUGUGGGUUAAUACCCUGCGCGGAUGACGGUACCUGCAGAAUAAGCACCGGCUAACUACGUG
rnacentral:rRNA from 1 species